rnacentral:rRNA from 1 species
GACGGACGCUGGCGGCGUGCCUAAUACAUGCAAGUCGAACGCAUUUUCUUUCACCGUAGCUUGCUACACCGAAAGAAAAUGAGUGGCGAACGGGUGAGUAACACGUGGGUAACCUGCCCAUCAGCGGGGGAUAACACUUGGAAACAGGUGCUAAUACCGCAUAAUUCCAUUUACCGCAUGGUAGCUAGCUGAAAGGCGCUUUUGCGUCACUGAUGGAUGGACCCGCGGUGCAUUAGCUAGUUGGGGGGGUAACGGCCUACCAAGGCUGCGAUGCAUAGCCGACCUGAGAGGGUGAUCGGCCACACUGGGACUGAGACACGGCCCAGACUCCUACGGGAGGCAGCAGUAGGGAAUCUUCGGCAAUGGACGCAAGUCUGACCGAGCAACGCCGCGGGAGGGAAGAAGGUUUUCGGAUCGUAAAACUCGGUUGUUAGAAAAGAACAAGGAUGAGAGUGGAAAGUUCAUCCCUUGACGGUAUCUAACCAGAAAGCCACGGCUAACUACGUG